rnacentral:lncRNA from 1 species
AGUACAUUUUAAAAACAAUAAUCAUUGAGUCUUGGGAUUUUAACUUUCAGGUUCUCAGAGUCCAUCUAUACAGACUCUUCCUGAGGAAACUGACAUCCAUGAAAGUGAAAGCAAGUUUAUCAAGACUGUGAGAUCAUAUAUUCAGAAAACGGCUUCAGAGACAAGCACAUCCAGCUCACAUCAAAUCCUACUCUCAGAAGUAGCAGGAAGAUACUCUUGGGCCAAAGGGAAGGAAGAACCAUUUCAUGUGGAUGCUGUCACGUUUACCUUUCUCCAAGAAGAGGAAGGCCGAGGAAACCAAAAUUUCUAUGCGAGGCAGGUACUUUAAAUACUUUAUUUAAAAAAAUCCUAGCACCACAUCUGAGAAAG